UUUUAAAUCUGACUCGGAACGAAGAUGCAGCUCGAUCGUCAACUGCCGAAAUAUAUUGAUGUAGAAGGUGUAGGAGGUGUAGAAGGUGAUCAAGAUAGUGAUCAAUUGUUUAUCACUGAAGAAGAAGAAGUAAUUGAAAUAGAAGAAGAGGAAACUAUUUAUGAGAGAGCACAGGAUAAUUCUCUUGAAACCAGG